CUCCGGUUGAUCCCGCCGGACCUGACUGCUAUCGGAUUGGUACUAAGCCAUGCGAGUCAUUGUAGCAAUACAAGGCGGACGGCUCAGUAACACGUAGUCAACCUAACUCGUGGACGUGGAUAACCUCGGGAAACUGAGAAUAAACCACGAUAGAUCAUAGUGCCUGGAAUGGCUUAUGGUCCAAACAGUUUACUGCCAUGGGAUGGGACUGCGGCCUAUCAGCUUGUUGGUGAGGUAAUGGCCCACCAAGGCUAUAACAGGUACGGGCUCUGAGAGGAGAAGCCCGGAGAUGGGUACUGAGACACGGACCCAGGCCCUAUGGGGCGCAGCAGGCGAGAAACCUUAGCAAUGUGCGAAAGCACGACUAGGUUAAUCCGAGUGAUUUCUGUUGAAGAAAUCUUUUGUCAGUCGUAAAACCACAGACGAAUAAGGGGUGGGCAAGUCUGGUGUCAGCCGCCGCGGUAAUACCAGCACCUCGAGUGGUCAGGAGGUUUAUUGGGCCUAAAGCAUCCGUAGCCGGCUACGCAAGUCUCCGGUUAAAUCCAGCUGCUCAACAGAUGGGCUGCCGGAGAUACUACAUAGCUAGGGAGCGGGAGAGGUAGACGGUAUUCUGUGGGUAGGGGUAAAAUCCACUGAUCCAUAGAGGACCACCAGUGGCGAAGGCGGUCUACCAGAACGCGUUCGACGGUGAGGGAUGAAAGCUGGGGGAGCAAACCGGAUUAGAUACCCGGGUAGUCCCAGCUGUAAACGAUGCAAACUCGGUGAUGCAUUGGCUUAUGGCCAAUGCAGUGCCGCAGGGAAGCCGUUAAGUUUGCCGCCUGGGAAGUACGGACGCAAGUCUGAAACUUAAAGGAAUUGGCGGGGGAGCA
rnacentral:rRNA from 1 species